rnacentral:rRNA from 1 species
GUGGGGAAUAUUGGACAAUGGGCGAAAGCCUGAUCCAGCCAUGCCGCGUGUGUGAAGAAGGUCUUCGGAUUGUAAAGCACUUUAAGUUGGGAGGAAGGGCAGUAAGUUAAUACCUUGCUGUUUUGACGUUACCGACAGAAUAAGCACCGGCUAACUUCGUGCCAGCAGCCGCGGUAAUACGAAGGGUGCAAGCGUUAAUCGGAAUUACUGGGCGUAAAGCGCGCGUAGGUGGUUUUGUAAGUUGGAGGUGACAUCCCCGGGCUCAACCUGGGAACUGCCUACAAAACUGCAUGACUAGAGUACGGUAGAGGGUAGUGGAAUUUCCUGUGUAGCGGUGAAAUGCGUAGAUAUAGGAAGGAACACCAGUGGCGAAGGCGACUACCUGGACUGAUACUGACACUGAGGUGCGAAAGCGUGGGGAGCAAACAGGAUUAGAUACCCGAGUAGUCC